UCAGGACUCGGGUCCCUGGGUUCCAGGUCACAGUGGGGUAUGCAGCGGCCUCCGGGCCUGAGGGAAGCAGGAAUCCGGGUGGCAGAGCUCGCGAUCGUGCUCGUCGUCCUCUCCUCAGCAGCAAAAACACCAGAUGCGCCGGGCGCUGACCUGCGGGGGAGUCCGGAGUCCUCCAAGUGCCCCCGGGGGUGGGGGAGCGGCCUCGGCCGCGCUCUCGGCUCGGGCAGCGCAACGCGGAAGUACCACCUUCGUCUCCGCUUCACUCCAUCGCGCCCUGACGUUGGGUGCGAGUUCAGGGGAGGGGAGUGGGCGAGACAACAACACGCCUCCGCCGCCGCCUCCUCAGCGUCGACGUCGUCCUCCUGUGGUGGCGGCGACACACGGCGGGCGCCUCGGAAGUGGCCUGGGCCUGACAACAACUCCCGGCCUAGGGCCUCGCGCACUCUGCCGCCCGCAGGGACGGGCGGCGGGGCGGGGCGAGGCGGGGGCGACCGGGCUGCGGCUCACGGUUGGGGCAGCGAGUGUGCGGGGCUGGGCGGGGGGCUGUUUCCGGGGAGAUAGGGGCGGGGGGGGAGUUUCUGAGCCUGUGGCGGUGGGUUCGGGCCCUGACUUUCUUCUUCCUUCGCCGCCGCCGCGAACAGAGGUGGCGGAGCUCCCUUUUCCUCCGCUCCCCCCCCUCCACGAGGAGGCUCCUGGUGUGCGCGGCCGGCCCCGGAUCGCUCCUCCCCUCCCCUCGCCGGUCUUCGUCAGGAGGAGGGAGGGCGACGGGACUUGCUGGUUGGGCCCUAACCUCCACAACCCCUCCUUCUCGCCUCGCUCUUUCGGCCUUUCCCCUCGGCCCUGACGCAAGGCCGGGGACGCGCACGCACGUCACGCUCCGAGAAAGCCGAAGGUGAGUGGUGUCGGGGCAAAGGAGGCGGGAACAAAGUUGCCGCGCACCAGCGUGCUCGCUCCCGCUGGAGACGGGCGUGCGGGCCGGAAGUGGCGUAACGUAGAAACGGCUUCACUUCCGGUGAGGGUGGGACUCUGUGUGAAGAAGGGUUAAAGAAAGGAGAGGUUUCGUGUACCGCCCACUGCUGUCGCUCGAGACUCUCGCAGUGAUGGCACGCCGGUCGUGCCUGUUGCGUCCAACGCGGUGUUGCACCGCCCGCCUGUUGAAAGGUCACGGCGACAGCAAGAAUCUAGAGACUCAUUAGUAACGCCGUUAGGAGCCUCUGGGCUGGGUAGUCAUUCUAUCUUGUACCCUCAGCCAAAUCCCGGGGAUGGAAUAGCUGCGACAGGAAAAGAGAGGGCACCGUGCAAAAGAGAGCAGAAGUGGCGUUGGUUUAAACUGUCUUACGAACACCCAAGUUGGAGGCCCCAUCUUAACCUAAAAGCACACUUGGGAAUCAGAGUCUUGAGCUUUGGUAACACUGAAAUUUACUUUAAAAAAGAAAGAGCCUUGAAUUGAUUUGGGGAAUAAAUGAAACUUCCAAAGGAACUACUGGAAAUCCCAAAAUUAUUACCAACAGCUAGAAGUCAAAACAUUUUGCCCAAAUGAGGACUGCCCUCUUGGCACUUCACCCACUUUCUUCUUAAUAUCUAAACCUAUGGCGCUGCCAAACGUAGCCAUUCGGUGACCUCAUGUCUCCGUUCUUGCCUUCCCAAAUUGCCUUUCAGUUAUAGACUGGGCUCAUAGGAUAAUUAGAUUGAAAUUUAAAUGGGUUAUUGGCUUUUAAUAUACUUGAAAAAAAGCUGAGCAGUCCAUUCAGUGGCUACAAGUAGUAACCCCUUUACAUGUUUGUUUUUUCAGAUCAUCAGUUGGUUCUUAGUUCCCAAACACUUGGUAUGCUUCCAUCAUUCAUACCUUAGUGUAAAUAUUUUAAUUGGUUUGACAUCCACUAACACUGUAUUUCAGACUGGACUAAUCUAAGCUAAAAUCAGACUUUACUGAAAGAAAGAAUACAAAGGGUAUGUGUUUGCUGAAGGAUAAAGGAGGAGGCAAAGCAUUGCCCAGGAAGGUAGGCCUGGGUGGGCCACACAGUGGGCUCUACUGUGCAGCCAGAAGGAAGUGGUAAGGGCACUGGAAAACGGAAUAGAAAAGUAAGGGCCAGGGUGCCUAAAACAAAUUCCUCCUUGGCAGUAUGCUGAGUGAAGGUCGUAUAGCCUGCUAAAGACCAGUUAGGACAUGUUUUUUUCCAAAAAAUAGGAUUAACCUCUACUAUCAUCGUACUUUGAAAAGCCUGGAGUAACAGAGCAGGGGAGCAAGAUAAGAGACUUAUUUAGCAGUUUCUCAAAUCUAUAACCAAUUUCACGUGAGAAUGUGAUCUAUACUUGUAAAAAAACUUGACCCAUAAUUCAUGGGCAGCUUCCAGGCCAGGUUGCAAACAGAAAAGAUGUACUAAAAUAUUUUUAGUGGGAUUUUGCUGCCCACAUGUUUCUGUAAAGAUUCUAUCUUGGGAGCAAUGGGAAGAAGUGGAAGAAAUGAAGCAUUUUGAGCUCUUGAGAGAUACCUGCCUGCAUACAAUGAAAUACUAAUAAUUAAUAGACUCCAAACUAAAAACAAAAGACAAAAACAAAAAAUGAGAAAGACCUUCAGAUUAAAAGCCAUCUGUUUCUAUAAGCUUGUCUACUUGUCUUCAUAUAAAGAGGUUUGAAAUUGCCAGUUGGGACUAUAUUUUAGUAUUUUCCUGUUUGUGUGUUAUAAUUUAUUGCCUCUUGAUUUUAAAAGAAAAAAAAAAACAGGUGGUAAGUUUUUUGCUUUCUUUAUCUAACAGUCAUAUCGUACCAUAUCAGCUGUUCUUAAAGUAUGCCUUGAGACUAAAACCUAUUCAGCGACUCAUGCAGUCAGAACACUUUUCCUAAUAAUAAGAUAUGAUUUGUCCUUUUUAUUCUAAUUCUUUCAUGAAUGUAUGGUGGAGUUUUCCAGAGACGACAUGACAUGUGAUGACAUCAUCGUUCUGGUGGCUAAUAGAAUGUGUGCUUGUGUGUUCAUUUGUUUUCUAGAAUGUUCUAAGGUAUUAGGUUUCUGAAAUAUGUAAACAUUUGGAAAAUCUGCAUAACUCCAUGAACUGAUAUUUUCCAUAUGAGUAAUGGGUGAUGUUACAAAGUCAUGAGUAAAACAUUCAUUCAAAGUGCAAGACCGACUGAGGGAUUUUAAUAUAACAGUACAAAACAUUCAUGGAUAGGAUUUGAGAUUCCACUUUACAACUAACCUUUAAGAAACUACUGUGGCGUUUUGAUGUAAUAUCAAAGAAUAACCACAAUUAUCUGGAAAGGGUAUUAAAAUACUCCCUCUCUUUUCCAAGGACAUAUCUUGUUCAUAUAUUUUCACUGAAACAACAUACUGCGACAAAUGGCAUAAAAAGGCAGAAAUGAGAAUCAGUUUUGGUUCUAUUAAACCAGUCGAUAAAGAGAUCUCCAGAAAGCCGUCUUGUGACUACAAAGGAACAAGUGCGGGCUAAGGAUUACUAGGUGGAGGGAGAGUGGAGGACCCUGGCUCCCUGAGGAUGUUGUGGAUGUGCCAAACCAAUCCUGGACUGAAAAAGACAUAAAUCUGGCGUAUAACUUCAAGUGGCUCUGCAAAGAGUCUGGUUGCAACCUCAGACUCACUAGCUUGAUGGAAGAAAAGUGGGGCCCAGAAAAGACCAGGGAAAUUUACUCUGACUGGAGCCAGGAGGCUGAAGCUUGGGCACCCUGGCUGGGGCUCGGAUCUAAGAAGGUGCAAUCCUGUUGGCGGCAGGGUGGGGAAAUGACAGCAGAAAUACAUCUGUUAGGUGGACAGAGGAUAUCAUGAUGAUGAGUCACAAGUCUAUGAAGCAAUUCCUAAAUCUUGGCUUGCCUCAUGACCACUUAGGGAUCUGGCUUAAAACGCACAAUUUUAUCUCUCCCUUCAGAGAUUCUAACAUAGCGAGUCCAGAGCUGGACCCAACGGGUGUGAAUGUAAGCAGCAUCCCAGGAGGCACCGAUGCACUUGGUCCCUGGAGAAAUACUGGUAUUGCUAGCAACAAUUCCAGGCACAAAGAUCAGGAAGUAUCUGGCCUCUUACUCACCAAGCUUGCUAAGAAAGAUGUCAGGGCCCAAGAGGAGCCAUCUUGUGAAGAACCGGGAUCUCAAACAUGAACUGAGGUGGACGCCUCAUCACCCCACGUGGAAAGGGCAAGGGGAUUCCAGAGAGCCACUGACCUAAACCACAAGCAUGGAAAAUGAGAGGCGCCUCUCCGACGCCCCACUCCGAGCUCAGACUGAUAACCAGCUCUGGAAGGCACGUUGUUUUCCUAUGAAAUGACCCCAAACCAAAGAUUGGCUGUCCAACCAAGUUACUUUAUUAGUACUUCUGCUCUAAGCUGGCUUUGGAGUCCAUAUAACCAACGUGAAAUCUUGUAACCGCUUCUUGGAGGAUCAUAGAGUUAGCUGUAAAAUUAAUAAUCCAGAAGCCAAGGGACAUAGAACUCUAAAGGCAAAAACUGGAUUAUUUGGUGUGAACGAUUGAAACGAAGGAGUUGGGAGGGGAGUGAUGUCUUACUCAGGAUGCGUCACCAGAGGGCGCCAGAGCAUCCUUCUCCAAAAGAAGUUUCUGUUGCCCUAAAACCCGUUAAGCUUCAGUUAAACAAAAUAGUUGCCCAAAGCGACAGUCUCCACCGAAGUCACCCUAAAGACAGAAGACAGUGGACAGGUGGCCCUCUUAAAAAGUUACUGGAGGUAUGUAAUUUCGUUGAUGCCAUCAGCUUUAUGUUAAAAAUGGAUGUAACUUUCCCCCGAAUCUCCUGCUUUUAUUAUACUUAAUAUAGCGCACGACGUUUCACAUUUCUUACGCCCAGUAAACAGGAUGCUCCAGAGGACGCAGUGCCUGUCGCCUGCACACUCUGGCGCCGACCCGCCAUCCUGAAUUCCUGUAGCCCAAUCUCCUGGGGAGCACGAACCUACCCACCUGCUGGACACCUCCAACUAGCCCUGACCCUGAACUUGGAACCUCCGGCUGUCGAGGCUGAUGACCUCAGAGAGCCCCAGUUCCGCUGUCCUCUUUUCACACAGGGGAAACUGAGGCUCAAGAGGGGCACAGGGACCUGUUAAGAGUUGCACUUCAGGUUAGUCUGUCGGAGAGGUAAAACUUUUUUUAGCCCAUGAACUAACCAACAGAAAGGGGUCUUGGUCCACUGAUGUUCUAAAGCCUAAAAAAGGAUAAGAAAGAAUCUGAGACCCGGGAAAUGGGUUCAAAAUGCAAAAAGCCAGCCACGUUGGGGCGUAGGGGAGAGGCGGCGCAGAGCAAUACGCUCCUGCAAAAUUGCCCUGUGGUGCUGCCACCUUCUGUUCAACUAGGAAAUUAAACUC